rnacentral:lncRNA from 1 species
AUUUUUCUUUUUGGCUCUGGUGGUAAAAAAUUUGGAUAAUUCUUAGGGCUUGUUUGGUUCAAGAAUGAAAUUAGAACAGAUAAUGGAAUGUGAAUAAAUUGGAAUGGUAAUUGGAUUGGCUCACUCUCCCAAAACGUUUGGUUCAUUUGUGGAUUGAAAAUUUGAAUGAGUUAUUCACAUUUCAUUGUUUGGUUCGUAUAAAUUAAAAAAAUUAUAAGAUAACAUAAUACUAAUUUUACUCUCAAAUAUAAUUUUAUAUUAUUUAAAAUUUAUGAAAAAUAUAAUACUAUUCUCUAAAAAGUUUUCCAAAAAAAAAUAUCAAAUUUAUUUUUAAAAACUUAAUUGAUGUGGGUUAGGGAUAGAGUUUUGAGAGAGGAUAGGUGUUUUUUUUAUUUUUUUUAUUUUUUAUUUUUUAUGAGAGAUGGGUGAAGAGAUCGUAUACAGGACAAGAGGGUGAGAUGGUCGCAUGGGCCUCAGGAACUUAGUGAGAUUCGGGAAUGAAAUCUCAAUCCAAGCUAGGAGAUCGAAAUCAAGUUGAAGGCUGAUGAGCUAUUCCUAUUCCAGUCUGGAAUAGGAAUCCCAAACUGAUUUCUACAAACCAAACAAAAUUAAUCGGAUUUAAUCAAACCGAUUCCCAUUCCAUAUCCAAAAUGGAUGAACCAAACAAGCCCUAAGAGUAGUAGAGAAAGAUGGAUU